rnacentral:rRNA from 1 species
GACGCACGCUGGCGGCGUGCCUAAUACAUGCAAGUCGAACGCAGUGGGGCCGGGUGAGUUACACGUGGGUAACCUCCCCUCAGAGGGGAUAACACUUGGAAACAGGUGCUAAACCGAUACUGAUGGAUGGACCCGCUGUGCAUUAGCUAGUUGGUGAGGUAACGGGUCACCAAGGCCACGAUGCAUAGCCGACCUGAGAGGGUGAUGGGCCACACUGGGACGGAGACACGGCCCAGACUCCUACGGGAGGCAGGAGUAGGGAAUCUUCGGCAAGGGACGAAAGUCUGACCGAGCAACGCCGCGGGAGUGAAGAAGGUUUUCGGAUCGUAAAACUCUGUUGUGAGAGAAGCGGUAUCUAACCAGAAAGCAACGGCUAACGACGUGCCAGCAGCCGCGGUAAUUC